rnacentral:rRNA from 1 species
GACGAACGCUGGCGGCGUGCUUAACACAUGCAAGUCGAACGGUAAGGCCCUUCGGGGUACACGAGUGGCGAACGGGUGAGUAACACGUGGGUGAUCUGCCCUGCACUUCGGGAUAAGCCUGGGAAACUGGGUCUAAUACCGGAUAGGACCGCCGCCUGCAUGGGUGGUGGUGGAAAGCUUUUGCGGUGUGGGAUGGGCCCGCGGCCUAUCAGCUUGUUGGUGGGGUGAUGGCCUACCAAGGCGACGACGGGUAGCCGGCCUGAGAGGGUGACCGGCCACACUGGGGCUGAGAGACGGCCCAGACUCCUACGGGAGGCAGCAGGGGGGAAUAUUGCACGAUGGGCGCAAGCCUGAUGCAGCGACGCCGCGUGAGGGAUGACGGCCUUCGGGUUGUAAACCUCUUUCAGCACCGACGAAGCGCAAGUGACGGUAGGUGCAGAAGGAGGACCGGCCAACUACGUGCCAGCCGCCGCAGUAA